rnacentral:rRNA from 1 species
AGUGAACGCUGGCGGUAGGCCUAACACAUGCAAGUCGAACGGCAGCACAGUAAGAGCUUGCUCUUACGGGUGGCGAGUGGCGGACGGGUGAGGAAUACAUCGGAAUCUAUUUUUUCGUGGGUGAUAACGUAGGGAAACUUACGCUAAUACCGCAUACGACCUACGGGUGAAAGCAGGGGAUCUUCGGACCUUGCGCGAUUGAAUGAGCCGAUGUCGGAUUAGCUAGUUGGCGGGGUAAAGGCCCACCAAGGCGACGAUCCGUAGCUGGUCUGAGAGGAUGAUCAGCCACACUGGAACUGAGACACGGUCCAGACUCCUACGGGAGGCAGCAGUGGGGAAUAUUGGACAAUGGGCGCAAGCCUGAUCCAGCCAUACCGCGUGGGUGAAGAAGGCCUUCGGGUUGUAAAGCCCUUUUGUUGGGAAAGAAAAGCAGCAGGUUAAUACCCCGCUGUUCUGACGGUACCCAAAGAAUAAGCACCGGCUAACUUCGUG